rnacentral:rRNA from 1 species
UACGUAGGGCGCAAGCGUUAUCCGGAAUUAUUGGGCGUAAAGAGCUCGUAGGCGGUUUGUCGCGUCUGCCGUGAAAGUCCGGGGCUCAACUCCGGAUCUGCGGUGGGUACGGGCAGACUAGAGUGAUGUAGGGGAGACUGGAAUUCCUGGUGUAGCGGUGAAAUGCGCAGAUAUCAGGAGGAACACCGAUGGCGAAGGCAGGUCUCUGGGCAGGAACUGACGCUGAGGAGCGAAAGCAUGGGGAGCGAACAGG